rnacentral:rRNA from 1 species
UGGCGACGGGUGAGUAACACGUGAGUAACCUGCCCCUGACUUCGGGAUAAGCCCGGGAAACUGGGUCUAAUACCGGAUACGACUGCCGGACGCAUGUCUGGUGGUGGAAAGUUUUUUCGGUUGGGGAUGGGCUCGCGGCCUAUCAGUUUGUUGGUGAGGUAAUGGCUCACCAAGACGACGACGGGUAGCCGGCCUGAGAGGGCGACCGGCCACACUGGGACUGAGACACGGCCCAGACUCCUACGGGAGGCAGCAGUGGGGAAUAUUGCACAAUGGGGGAAACCCUGAUGCAGCGACGCAGCGUGCGGGAUGACGGCCUUCGGGUUGUAAACCGCUUUCAGCAGGGAAGAAGCGCAAGUGACGGUACCUGCAGAAGAAGUACCGGCUAACUACGUGCCAGCAGCCGCGGUAAUACGUAGGGUACGAGCGUUGUCCGGAAUUAUUGGGCGUAAAGAGCUCGUAGGUGGUUGGUCACGUCUGCUGUGGAAACGCAACGCUUAACGUUGCGCGUGCAGUGGGUACGGGCUGACUAGAGUGCAGUAGGGGAGUCUGGAAUUCCUGGUGUAGCGGUGAAAUGCGCACAUAUCAGGAGGAACACCGGGUGGCGAAGGCGGGGACUCUGGGCUGUAACUGACUCUGAGGAGCGAAAGCAUGGGGGAGCGAACAGGGAUUAGAUACCCCUGGUAGUCCAUGCCCGUAAACGUUGGGCACUAGGCU